rnacentral:tRNA from 1 species
CAUUUUGUAGCUUAAAAUAAAGCCUUAAACUUUUAAUUUAAAGAAAAAUAAAAUUUCAAAUGA